CCUACGGGAGGCUGCAGUGGGGAAUAUUGCACAAUGGGGGAAACCCUGAUGCAGCGACGCCGCGUGAGUGCAGAAGUAUCUCGGUAUGUAAAGCUCUAUCAGCAGGGAAGAAAAUGACGGUACCUGACUAAGAAGCCCCGGCUAACUACGUGCCAGCAGCCGCGGUAAUCCGUAGGGGGCAAGCGUUAUCCGGAUUUACUGGGUGUAAAGGGAGCGUAGACGGCAGCACAAGUCUGGAGUGAAAUGCCGGGGCUUAACCCCGGAACUGCUUUGGAAACUGUGCAGCUAGAGUGCAGGAGAGGUAAGUGGAAUUCCUAGUGGAGCGGUGAGAUGCGUAGAUAUUAGGAGGAACACCAGUGGCGAAGGCGGCUUACUGGACUGUAACUGACGUUGAGGCUCGAAAGCGUGGGGAGCAAACAGGAUUAGAUACCCGUGUAGUC
rnacentral:rRNA from 1 species